rnacentral:rRNA from 1 species
GUUGUAUAGUUAAGUGACUAAGCGUACAAGGUGGAUGCCUUGGCAAUCAGAGGCGAAGAAGGACGUGCUAAUCUGCGAAAAGCUUGGAUGAGUCGAUAAGAGGCGUUUAAUCCAAGAUAUCCGAAUGGGGAAACCCAGUAGAUGAAGAAUCUACUAUCAACAAGUGAAUUCAUAGCUUGUUGAGGCAAACCGGGAGAACUGAAACAUCUAAGUACCCCGAGGAAAAGAAAUCAACCGAGAUUUCGUCAGUAGCGGCGAGCGAAAGCGAAAGAGCCAGUAAGUGAUAGCAGUAUAGUGAGGAGAAUGUGUUGGGAAGCACAAUCAAAGAGGGUGAUAAUCCCGUAUCUAAAAACCAUAUUGUGGUACUAAGCUAACGAGAAGUAGGGCGGGACACGUGAUAUCCUGUUUGAAGAAGGGGGGACCAUCCUCCAAGGCUAAAUACUCCUGAUUGACCGAUAGUGAACCAGUACUGUGAAGGAAAGGCGAAAAGAACCCCGGUGAGGGGAGUGAAAUAGAACCUGAAACCUUGUACGUACAAGCAGUGGGAGCCCCAUCACUUAAUCCGAUUGGAAGGUGAUGAAAAGCAACCGCACUUAAACAAUGGUAAGAGGAGCGAAGCGAGUCAAACCACCCAAAAGAAGCAGUGGGAUUAAGUGAUGGGGUGACUGCGUACCUUUUGUAUAAUGGGUCAGCGACUUAUAUUUUGUAGCGAGGUUAACCGAAUAGGGGAGCCGAAGGGAAACCGAGUCUUAACUGGGCGUCUAGUUGCAAGGUAUAGACCCGAAACCCGGUGAUCUAGCCAUGGGCAGGUUGAAGGUUGGGUAACACUAACUGGAGGACCGAACCGACUAAUGUUGAAAAAUUAGCGGAUGACUUGUGGCUGGGGGUGAAAGGCCAAUCAAACCGGGAGAUAGCUGGUUCUCCCCGAAAUCUAUUUAGGUAGAGCCUUGAGGUGACACCUUUGGGGGUAGAGCACUGUUUCGGCUAGGGGUCCAUCCCGGAUUACCAACCCGAUGCAAACUACGAAUACCAAAGAGUGAUACUCAGGAGACACACGGCGGGUGCUAACGUCCGUCGUGGAGAGGGAAACAACCCAGACCGCCAGCUAAGGUCCCCAAGUCUAUAUUAAGUGGGAAACGAAGUGGGAAGGCUUAGACAGCUAGGAUGUUGGCUUAGAAGCAGCCAUCAUUUAAAGAAAGCGUAAUAGCUCACUAGUCGAGUCGGCCUGCGCGGAAGAUGUAACGGGGCUGAAAUAUAGCACCGAAGCUGCGGCAUCAG